UUAGCUCUCGGUUUUUUGUCUCCCUCCGCUUCGAGUCGGGAGACAACAACAUAACCUCGAGCUAAAAUCUAAUACUUUUUUCCCUUGUAUAAUAAAUAACUAUUUCAUAAGUGAAAAUUUGUUUGUGAAUAUAAUAUGCAAUUAUCGAUUUGUGACGUGUUUGUAUUUGACAGAUUUUUUCAGAUUAGGAAGAUCAUGAAUAAUCAUAUUGAAUUGGAAAUGGUAUUUGAAGAAUACAGGAAGUCUGAAGAAAAUCGAAAACGAAAAGAAAUAGUACAUACAGCCCUUUUGAAUAUAUAUGAAAAAAUCAGAUCAGUAUCCACUACAUGCAAACCCCCAUAUUUUCAGUCAUCAUCGUCAAAGUUUAAAGGAUCUCCCUCUGUAGCAUCAAGUAAACUCAAGUCCUCCAAUACCACAUCAUCUGAAAUAGAAUUUGGUGAUAUGAGAAAUACUUCGUUGAAACGUAGAAUCAGUAUGUAUAAAGAUUAUAAGUAUUGUUUGAAUCAAGAUAGAAUGAAUACAGCAAGAGAACAUUUCUUGAAAAUGUUAUAAUAAAAAAAAUAAAUUUGAUUUAUUCAGA